UGCAAUAUUUCAGAAGCCUCUUUGUUCAACACGCAGAAAACUACAACAUCGAAGGUAAGAAUAUUAGGGAUUUCUAACCAGAUUUUUGUCCUUUUUUUAGUGUAACAGGCAAUUUCUGUUUGUGUUUUAUUUGUCUGUAGAUCGUUGUAAACUACUUAUUCACUAAAUACUCGAAAUGGAUCAAAUUGUGAAUGCUCUUGAACCUUGUAAAGAAUUCGCAAAGGAUUCCAUGAGAUUGGUCAAACGUUGUACGAAACCAGAUCGAAAAGGUUUGUUAUAGCCUUAUAGUUUAAAUCUAAUCUCACAUUAAGCUGAGAAGACUAUUUAUUGUAUAUAUAAUUGUUUUAACUUAUGAAUGAGAAUCAAUUGAACGAUCCCCGAUAAGUUUAUAGCACUUUAUCGAACUGAAAAUCCUUUUUAUUUUUUUUGUGGAAUUAGUCCAGUUCAUGAAUUAAAAUUGUGUUGACCAAUAAAACGGGAUUUAUAUUGUUAAAGAACGAAAUUGUUCUAUACAUUGCUUACAUAAUUACUUACUGGGGAUCUGAGGAUCUCAUUCAUCUCAAUGAACUGUGUCUGUAUUGUAUUGUAUUUUUUUGUAUUAAAAUCAGUAAGACAAG